GACGAACGCUGGCGGCGUGCUUAACACAUGCAAGUCGAACGGAAAGGCCCCUUUGGGGGUUCUCGAGUGGCGCACGGGUGAGUAACACGCGAGUAACCUGCCCUUGACUUCGGGAUAACUUCAGGAAACUGGGGCUAAUUCCGGCUAGGAAUCCUUGCUGCAUGGUGGGGGUUGGAAAGCUUCGGCGGUUUUGGAUGGACUGGCGGCGUAUCAGCUUGUUGGUGGGGUAGUGGCUUACCAAGGCUUUGACGGGUAGCCGGCCUGAGAGGGUGACCGGCCACAUUGGGACUGAGAUACGGCCCAGACUCCGACGGGAGGCAGCAGGGGGGAAUAUUGCACAAUGGGCGGAAGCCUGAUGCAGCAGCGCCGCGUGCGGGAUGACGGCCUUAGGGUUGUAAACCGCUUGCAGCAGGGGCGAAGCUUGUGGUGACGGUACCUGCAGAAGAAGCACCGGCUAACUACGUG
rnacentral:rRNA from 1 species